rnacentral:rRNA from 1 species
UACAGAGGUCCCAAGCGUUGUUCGGAUUCAUUGGGCGUAAAGGGUGCGUAGGCGGCGCGGUAAGUCGGGUGUGAAAUCUCAGAGCUCAACUCUGAAACUGCACUCGAUACUGCUUUGCUUGAGGACUGGAGAGGAGAUUGGAAUUCACGGUGUAGCAGUGAAAUGCGCAGAUAUCAGGAGGAACACCGGUGGCGAAGGCGGGUCUCUGGGCCGUAACUGACGCUGAGGAGCGAAAGCGUGGGGAGCGAACAGG